GCCUCGUGAAUGUUUUCUAAAAUAUUGUGGUAAAGAAGUAAAUACAUGUUAAAAGUCUAAUGUAGUAUGAUGUAUAUUAAUUUUAUAGGUUUUUAGCUAUUAAUUUUGAUCAUUUUAUGUUUAAAUAUUACAUUUAGUCAUUAUUAGGAGUUGCAUUCGUACAUUUUGUAUAUACAAGGGGUUUGGUUGUAUAAUCAGAAGUUCUGGGGCGAAAUAGCGGAGAAAAACUAUAACUUUUAGAAGUUUGAGGCCACAAACAAAGAUAUCCAAAGUGCAGGGACCAAUUCUACAAAAAGCUCAAAGUUGAGCAAAGCUUUGGAUCUUUCGAUCCAUGAAAGUGGAGGAAGCGACCAAUUCCCAAUUUGCAAGCUUGAUUCGUUCGAUCUGUUUGUCCUCAACCUAAGCUUCUUCCUAACUAACAUGAGUUGAUCGUUUUUGGAAGAUCGAUGAGCUCGAUCGUGUACACCGGCCCUUGAUUGUGAUGACACAGACGAUGAGGAUGAGCUCGUGACGGUGAUAAGAAAAGAUGAUGCCGCAGACGGUUCGAGACGGUGGAGCAGCGACGAGGAGAUCUGGCGGUCUCGAGGCAGAGAGGGUCCGGCGAUCUCGAGAGGAGAUCCGGCGGUUGAGAUCGUAUCCGUUUUGGAAUCCUCCGUUUUGAGAUUUUUUUUUUAAUUUUAAUUAAUUUUUUAUUUAUUUCAUUAAGGCUAAAUAAGUAAAUCAACUUGUAAGAGGUCACACAGAUUUUUUUUGGAUGGUGUAGAUUUUUCUUUUUGACAUUUAGGCCAUAUGAGAUCUUUGUCCUAAUAAUUGAUGUUAAAAAUUUGAAUAUUUG
rnacentral:lncRNA from 1 species